UUACGGCCAUAUCACGAAACACUAGUUCUCAUAAAAUCACCGAAGUUAAGCAACGUUGAUCCUGGUCAGUACCUAAAUGAGUGACUGUUUGGGACUACCAGGUGCUGUAAG